GCCCCGAUGAUGGAAUGGUAGACAUGCAGUGUUCAGAACGCUGUGUCCGCAAGGACGUGAGGGUUCGAGUCCCUCUUGGGGCA
rnacentral:tRNA from 3 species